rnacentral:rRNA from 1 species
AUGGGACGAGAGUCUGACUGGAGCAACGCCGCGUGAGUGAUGAAGUGUCUUCGGGUCGUAAAGCUCUGUUGUUAGGGACGAACACAGUGUC